GACACGCUUCGGAGCAAACACACGGAGAGCUUGCUCUCAUCUCGCUCUGAGGAAAGUCCCCGGGCACUACGGCAGAGAGUGCCAGCCUUGACAGUAAGGUCCCCGCGGCAGUGGGAGUACGGAGACGGCUCAUGCCUGAGGUUUCCCACGCCGCGGAUCCGGCCGCAGGCUACAGUGAUGCGUGUCGGCGCCCUUUGGGCGCUCGAACAGAACGGGGCUUACUCUGGCG
rnacentral:RNase_MRP_RNA from 1 species